rnacentral:misc_RNA from 1 species
GAUGAAGAACGUAGCGAAAUGCGAUAAGUAAUGUGAAUUGCAGAAUUCAGUGAAUCAUCGAAUCUUUGAACGCACAUUGCGCCCGCCAGUAUUCUGGCGGGCAUGCCUGUUCGAGCGUCAUUACAACCCUCAGGCCCCCGGGCCUGGCGUUGGGGAUCGGCGGAAGCCCCCUGUGGGCACACGCCGUCCCUCAAAUACAGUGGCGGUCCCGCCGCAGCUUCCAUUGCGUAGUAGCUAACACCUCGCAACUGGAGAGCGGCGCGGCCAUGCCGUAAAACACCCAACUUCUCAAGGUUGACCUCGGAUCAGGUAGGAAUACCCGCUGAACUUAAGCAUAUCAAUAAGCGGAGGA